ACGAACAUUUUUUUUUAGUAGAACCUAUGCAGCCUACCCCCAGCGGCUUUCUUGCGCUUUGGCAAUUCCUCUAAUAGCUUAAGGCUAUUAAUCUGCCAAUCUAUCGUGGAAAGGAGAUUAUCAACUCGACGAAAACAAUCUGUAGCCACGCCAAAACUGCUAGUCCUUUCAAGCCACCUUAAGUUUGGAUCAUAAUCGAUUUCAUCCUGUUGCCCCUAGGCAAGCAUCAUAACAGUACAUUACAUUACAUAACAGUACUUUUACAUUAGGGCCCUUAGCUAGGUCAUCACUUGUUUGGUCGGUAAAACCAGCGCACUUAGAGUGCACCAUUUUAUCACACAACCAGCAAGUCAUUUUUGGCUGAUCAGGCUUUGUCAAAAGCAAAAAUAAAUUCACCAACACAAGCUUCGGAACGGAUAGUGCUAACCCGAACGCUCGCCAGAAAUCGAUCCCAAAGUACGCAGCUUGUCCCAGGCAAAUCCAAGCCAGGCGCCGUUCUCACCACCGAGAAGAAAGACUGAACCGUGGCACCUAGUGCUUCCACGAGCUUCCCUCGCUUUCUGAAAUUAGCCGCAAUCCGCUCAUUUGAUGUUCCGUGAAAAUUCGAUUUCAUACCUCCAAUUAGCGUCGCCUCCUUUUUUCCGCUGGAAACCGAAUCGGAUCUUGUCCCUCAAUACCUGCCAAAGUCCGGACUCCUGCGAUGGGCGGUAGAUGUGCGCCAUUUGAGCAAGGACUGCGGUUAAUCCUGAACUUGCGGCUUACCCAUUUCCUCGAUUAUGGUUUUAAAAUCAAUAUUGCUUGGCGACCGGUGUUCUUGACAUUCUAUGCUUUUCAUGCUUUUAUGCUUUCAAACUAUCUAUGCUUUUCAAACAAAUUUUGACUAAAUAGAAUAAAUAAGAAAAUAUUACCUU